UAUGUGAUCGUCUCUUGCAUAUCAAUAAGCGGAGGAAAAGAAACUAACAAGGAUUCCCCUAGUAACGGCGAGUGAAGCGGGAAGAGCUCAAAUUUGAAAUCUUAAAGGGUUUCCCUUUACGAAUUGUAGUUUAAAGAAAUGUUUUCUGUUGAGGUUUUGGUAAAAGUUCUUUGGAAUAGGACAUCAUAGAGGGUGAGAAUCCCGUAUUUGACCUUUACUUUCAACUUUGUGAUACACUUUCAAAGAGUCGGAUUGUUUGGGAAUGCAGUCCAAAAUGGGUGGUAAAUUUCGUCUAAAGCUAAAUAUUGGCGAGAGACCGAUAGCGAACAAGUACCGUGAGGGAAAGAUGAAAAGAACUUUGAAAAGAGAGUUAAACAGUACGUGAAAUUGUCAAAAGGGAAGCGUUUGACACCAGUGUUGUUUUUCUGAAAAUCAAUUAAAGAACUGUUUAUGCUAAGUUGUUUAGACUUUAUCAGCUAUCUGCUUUAGUUUUGAGCUUUUCUUUAAUGCACUUUUCAGUUAACAAGUCAACAUCAAUUUCUUUUGCUGUAAAAAAGCUUGAGGAAGGUGGCUUGAGAUUCGUCUUAAGUGUUUAUAGCCUCUUGCCUAUGCAGUCGGAGAGAUUGAGGUCUGCAGCGUAGAUCCUUCGGGGCUAAAUGCAUUUGUGCUAAGUUAUAACAUUUUAUAGACAACUUGUUGACUAUGAUUUGUCUUGUAGCUUACUCGCUUAUGUUAUUUUACCUACGCUUAGGAUGUUGAAGUCAUCGUAUCGCGC
rnacentral:rRNA from 1 species